AUAAUAUAUAAUAAGAAAUAUCUUCUCUUUUUAAUAUAGUUUCUUCGAAAUGCACAACUUGUACGAAUAAUUUUCAAAUUAAUAGUUUCUUUUCUAUAUAAAAAAUAAAAGACAAAUAAUUUUUAAUUUUGCUGAAAAAAUUCGAGAACAAAAUUUAUUAAUUAUCAGAUUUGUUUGUGAAUGGACAAAACAUUUGUUGAUAUAAAAAAUGUAAACUGGAAAGGUAUAUUAAAGCUGUUAAAGAAAACGUAUUUCAAUAAAAACUCUCGAUAUCUAUCGUACAUGAAAGACGACAUACAAAGUCUAUAAGCGCCUUUAAAAUUUCGUGUGGAAUUCGAACAACCAAUAGUGUUUAAGCAAGCAAUCCAAUUGGCCUUCAAAGCUAGAUACCGUCUUCUACAUACAUUAGUCAGUCAUCACUGAUCUGUUGUCAUAUACAGAACAUAUAAAGACAUAAAAUGUGUGGUAAACAAUUUUUUUUCUGUUGGCUUAGAAAUCAUAAGUAUCAUCUUGAUUAAUAUUAAUUAUUUAUGAUGCAGUUUUUUGUAAUAUUUGACUUUGUAUUAUGCUAUUGACAUUUUUGCUAAAUAUUUUAACGAAAUAAUCAGGAUUAGUAUCGCAUGACAGGCAAAUAUCUUGUAAUUUUCGUAACUUUAUCAGAUAAUACAACUAAUAUAAAGAUAUCAAGGUAUAUUAAUAUCAAGAAAUAUUACGAUUCUAUUACUUAAGAAAAAAGCAAUUUCAGUUCAAUUAAGUUUUAUAAAAAAAGGAAUUAGAUCUCACAUUAUGCGAUUAAUUCACACAUUUGCAAUAAUUCUAUUCGUGAUUUUAUUUUACGAUAUUCCAAAAGAAAACAUGGUAGUAAAGAAAAAUGAUGCUAGAUUCCGAGGCCUAGAGUCAGAAUCUUCAAAGAACUUUCUUAGAGAUCUUCUAAAGAAAAGUGUCCUUAUUUUAGUGUUUUCAAUAAAAUUAUUAUUAGUCAUAUUUAUAAGAUUAAUAUUAGCCAUGUUUUUAUUUAUAAUAAUUGUAUGUCUAUUAAAUGUAUUUAUGCCAUUAUUUCAAUUUAUACCAUUAUGUCAAUAUGGAGGUCUCUUUUUUGCUUUUUAUCUUUUGUAUAUAUAACUACUGUAUAUAUAUUUAUCUUCUUUUUAAUGAAACUAGAAUUAGUAUGGAUCUUUUUAAUGGAAUUGUAAUUAGUAUAGAUAGUAUAGAGUACUUAGCAAGUUACUAAAGUGUUAUUGAUAAGUCAAAUAUACAUUCUAAUUUCAUGACUUCAUAAAUAAUUUACUUAUGUGCUUUCGCUAUCUUCUAUCUUAUUUUGUAUCCAGAGAACCAACAAACAAUUAAUAAAUUUAUUGAUAUAAUUGUAUUAUUCAAGACAAGGAAAUGCUAUCAAGAUUAUAAAAUAAAUUAAAACUUAAAAUAAAAAAUACUCUUUAUUUUAAA